rnacentral:rRNA from 1 species
GACGAACGCUGGCGGCGUGCUUAACACAUGCAAGUCGAACGGAAAGUCCCUGCUUUUGUGGGGUGCUCGAGUGGCGAACGGGUGAGUAACACGUGAGUAACCUGCCCUUGACUUUGGGAUAACUUCAGGAAACUGGGUCUAAUACCGGAUAGGAUCUCCUGCUUCAUGGUGGGGGUUGGAAAGUUUCGGCGGUUGGGGAUGGACUCGCGUCUUAUCGGCUUGUUGGUGGGGUAGUGUCUUACCAAGGCUUUGACGGGUAGCCGGCCUGAGAGGGUGACAGGCCACAGUGGGACUGAGAUACGGCCCAGACUACUACGGGAGGCAGCAGUGGGGAAGAUUGCACAAGGGGAGGAAGCCUGAUGCAGCAACGCCGCGUGCGGGAUGACGGCCUUCGGGUUGUAAACCGAUUUCGCCUGUGACGAAGCGUGAGUGACGGUAAUGGGUAAAGAAGCACCGGCUAACUACGUG